GUUGGUACUGAGCAUGUGCAAAUGGGGUAACGGCUUAAGGGUAUAGAAGAAAGUCCCAACAGGACAAUAUAAAAGGUCAGCUGCCAGCAGGCAGAAGUCAGUCAGGACUUGGCAAGAAGAGGUGCUGGAAGAACUGCUGGAGAAAGAGAUCGGAGGGCUGACCAAGAGGACCGCGGAGCUGCUGGAAAGACCGUUUAGAAUGCUGGGGAGAGCACGGUUGAAGACAGCACCUAAAGCAGCAGCCACAACAUCAGUAACAUUGAAACAAAAAUCGGCACUGGAUAGAGCGGAAGAAGCCACAGGGAGUGAGCUGCAACUGUAACAGCGAACAGAGAAACGGAGAUGCCACGGAAUCGAAGGACAGAGUGAGCUUUAUACCAAAACAAAACCAGCCAACCCUUUAAAAAUGAUUAGCUGUCUUGGCUGGUAAAACGCCGUAGUGCCAUACUGGAGAUCCAAGUUUAGUAACAUCUGUUGCCGAAGCUGGCAGAAGAGGAGUUGUGUCAUGUGGAUGAUUAUUGUGUCAAAUGGAGGACAGGAAAAACGGCAUCUAAUUACAUGGACUGUAAAUGCUCUACCUUCUACAAGAGUGUACUGCGGUGAUACUGGGGUUGGGGAGAGUGGGAAAAAGGGAUGUCCAAGAAUUUACAAGUUGGUCCAACCCCCAGAUCCUCCACAGACUGACUGGCCCUCUUGAUCAAUGUCUCAAGUGAAAAGUGCCUCAGAAUGUUUUGUAAUCCCAUGAAAUGCAAAAGCCUAAGGGUGGGGGGAAUGAGCAAAGUUUGAAUCUUUUUCUGCUGAAAUGACAAAGAAUGAACAAUAAAAAUCUAGACCGUCCGUUUUUUUUCCCUUUUGAAUUUAGUCAGCCUCUAGCUUAGAAAAGCAUGGCCUGUGUUUUUAGACAUACAGAGUGUAAGCUCCACAUAGAAAUAAAUCAUCUCAAAUUACCAAGACAUGUCACGGUAACAAGGAGGUCUCCUUUCCCACUAGUUGAAGCAUUCUUUAUCUUUUUAAAAGAGAUCGUAAAUUUAUGGCUGAUGUACUUUAAUGUAAACCACAAAUAUGUCCAAGGUCAUAUGCUAAAUAAAUUAAGAGAGCAAUA